GGCUCUGUGGCGCAAUGGAUAGCGCAUUGGACUUCUAAUUCAAAGCGCUGUGGGUUCGAGUCCCACCAGAGUCG